rnacentral:rRNA from 1 species
AACGAACGCUGGCGGCAUGCCUAACACAUGCAAGUCGAACGAGACCUUCGGGUCUAUUGGCGCACGGGUGCGUAACGCGUGGGAACCUGCCCUUAGGUUCGGCAUAACUCCCCGAAAGGGGUGCUAAUACCGGAUAAUGUCUUCGGACCAAAGAUUUAUCGCCUUUGGAUGGGCCCGCGUUGGAUUAGCUAGUUGGUAGGGUAAAAGCCUAGCAAGGCGACGAUCCAUAGCUGGUCUGAGAGGAUGAUCAGCCACACUGGGACUGAGACACGGCCCAGAAUCCUACGGGAGGCGGGAGAGGGGAAUAUUGGACAAUGGGGGAAGGCCUGAUCGAGCAAUGCCGCGUGAGUGAUGAAGGCAGUAGGGUUGUAAAGCUCUUUUACCCGGGAUGAUAAUGACGGUACCGGGAGAAUAAGCUCCGGCUAACUACGUG